UCCCCGUUACCGAGGCAGUCUGAGUAGAAAAAUUCAACUACUCACAAGGGUUGCGCUCGUUGAUGGACUUAACCAAACAUCUCACGACACGAGCUGACGACGGCCAUGCAUCACCUGUCACUGAUCCAACUAAAUGAAGUUUUCCUUUCGGAAAACGGCUACCAGGAUGUCAAGCCUUGGUAAGGUUCUUCGCUUAUCAUCGAAUUAAACAACACGCUCCACCGCUUGUGCGGGUCCCCGUCAAUUCCUUUAUGUUUUAAGCUUGCGCUCGUACUCCACAGGCGGGAUGCUUAACGCGUUAGCUUCGCUACUACUCGGGUCGAUACGAAUAACAGCUAGCAUCCAUCGUUUACGGCGUGGACUAC
rnacentral:misc_RNA from 1 species